UACGGAGGGUGCAAGCGUUAUCCGGAUUUACUGGGUUUAAAGGGUGCGUAGGUGGCGCUGUAAGUCGGGUGUGAAAUUUCGGAGCUUAACUCCGAAACUGCAUUCGAUACUGCGGUGCUUGAGGACUGGAGAGGAGACUGGAAUUCAUGGUGUAGCAGUGAAAUGCGUAGAGAUCAUGAGGAAGACCAGCGGCGAAGGCGGGUCUCUGGACAGUUCCUGACACUGAGGCACGAAGGCCAGGGGAGCAAACGGG
rnacentral:rRNA from 1 species